rnacentral:rRNA from 1 species
GAUGAACGCUGGCGGCGUGCCUAAUACAUGCAAGUCGAGCGAACAGACGAGGAGCUUGCUCCUCUGACGUUAGCGGCGGACGGGUGAGUAACACGUGGAUAACCUACCUAUAAGACUGGGAUAACUUCGGGAAACCGGAGCUAAUACCGGAUAAUAUAUUGAACCGCAUGGUUCAAUAGUGAAAGACGGUUUUGCUGUCACUUAUAGAUGGAUCCGCGCCGCAUUAGCUAGUUGGUAAGGUAACGGCUUACCAAGGCAACGAUGCGUAGCCGAUCUGAGAGGGUGAUCGGCCACACUGGAACUGAGACACGGUCCAGACUCCUACGGGAGGCAGCAGUAGGGAAUCUUCCGCAAUGGGCGAAAGCCUGACGGAGCAACGCCGCGUGAGUGAUGAAGGUCUUCGGAUCGUAAAACUCUGUUAUUAGGGAAGAACAAAUGUGUAAGUAACUAUGCACGUCUUGACGGUACCUAAUCAGAAAACCACGGCUAACUACGU